UGCAAGAGUGAGCAGAAGGCCUGGUUGAAACCUCCUGACAGCUGAGUAGGGCAGCAGGUGCUAGGCGUGUGGCAAAUGACCAGUACCCAUCUGUCCCUGCUUAGCUCAGACUACGAGGAGAUCACCAUCGACCCCACAUGCAGCUGGAAACCAGUGCCUGUGAAGCCUGACCUACACAUCAAGGAGGAGCCGGACGGGCCAGUGCUGAAGCGCUGCCGUACUGUGAGCCCUGCCCACGUGCUCAUGCCCAGUGUGAUGGAGAUGAUUGCGGCCCUGGGCCCUGGCGCUGCCCCCUUUGCCCCAUUGCAGCCCCCUUCGGCCCCUACCCCCAGCGACUACCCCAGCCAGGGUGAGUAUGGCACACCCAGGCUAGACCUUAGGUGACCCUGGGCAAAUGACUCACUCUCUCCAGAUCAGCCUCCUUGCCUGUGACAGUGUCACAGCCACACAGUUACAAGUGCCAUGCUGAGGAUGCCUCCCUGCAUACCCCAUCUCUGGCAUGGUGGGGAAGUCAUGGUGGACCAUGCAUGACUGUAGGAAUUGGGGUAGCAAGGCUUCCACCUUCUCUGGUUGGAGUAAGGCUUUUCACUGAAAUACUUGCAUUUGGGGUGUCCCUCACACUUGGUUGUGGUGGGUCACUUUCCAUCAUUUGAGGUCUUCCUCCUACGACUACCCCAGGUUCGGCCCCCUUGCAGUGAUGGGAAGACAUGUAGAGUUAUUUCCUGUGUGGUCGCAUCCCUCUGUGUGGUAGCCACCUCUCCACCUCGCACGUCCACCUACCUGAGCUUUCUGACUGACUUUCCUUUUGUAGGUUCCAACUUCCUGGGGCCUGGAACCUUCCCAGAAUCUUUCCCAUCUGCUACACCCGCCACCCCAAACCUUGCUGAGUUCACCCAGGGGCCACCCCCAAUCUCCUACCAGUCUGACAUUCCCAGCAGCCUCCUGACUCCAGACAAGUCUGCUCCUUGCCUCCCAGGCCAGAUGGCACCAGCAGGUCACCUGGACCCAGCCCAUAAUCCUGGACCACCAGGACUGCACACUCCCAACCUCGGGCCCACCCCAGGCACCCAGCUACACCAUCCAAACCCUUCCCCUGCAUCCAGGCAGCCCCUGGGCCAACCAAACACAGGGCCCAUCAGUGAACUGGCUUUCAAUCCUGCCACGGGCAUGAUGGGGCCUCCCAGCAUGACUGGGGCAGGGGAGGCCUCAGAACCAGCUCUGGAUGUAAGUAAUCAGUCCCGUGGUGGUGGGGAAGCCAUUGGUCCCUGGGUCUACACACCUGGCUUCAUAGAAGGGAUGACAGCGAACCUUCAGGAGGGACUGUCUCGCAAGGGCAGCUGUUCCACACAGGUUGGAUACUUGGAAUAGCUAUAGGGUACCAGGUACCCGUGUGUGGUUAAUGAGUGACCUGCCCUUAGAGGCUGCCUUUGGAGCCUGGGUGUGUGAAGCUCACAGCACUGUUCCCACAGCCCAACUUGAACUAGGCACUUACUCAGUUCUUCAUCUUGACAACAUAGGCAGUUUGUGAGCAGAGGCAUGAGUAUGUGUGUUCAAUGUCCUUGGACCAUAAUAGAAACUCUCUGAAGUUCCACAUGAGGAAGAUGAGGAGCUGGCCAGAGCAAAAAGCCCCAGAGGCAUGGGAUCUUACCACCUGCUGUGGGCCCUGGGAAUUACACUGGGGAUCCCUUCUCAGGCCUGUGCAUCUCCAGUGCCACCUCAUGUUGCACUCACUGGCUCCUGGGGACCAUGUCUUGAGCUACUCCUGUAGCAACCUUCUAUGGGGAGAUACAGGCAGCUUCACACAACCAGAUGGCUUCACUCAGGCACCCAGCAUUUGGCAGGGGAAGGGCGGUUUAGCAUUCCCACUGGGCCUGAGGCCAGGACAGCAUGGCCACUAAACAUAAAGGGUCUGAGACCAAAGCCACUAAUGUGUUUGCUUUGUCCUCAGCUGCUCCCAGAACUGACCAAUCCUGAUGAACUACUCUCCUACCUGGGUCCACCUGACCUCCCCACAAACAGCAGUGAUGAUCUGCUCUCACUCUUUGAGAACAACUGAUCCUGUGUUAACCCCUGGCCCGGCCAAGACACACUCAAAGAUACCACCACAGCCUUCCCUCCUCACCCAGCCCCACAGGCUGCCUGCCGGUUCUCCCUGAAUCUCCCAAUGCACACGCCCCGAGCUGGGGCCUGCCACUGCCAGCCCCUGAUGAACUGGAAGCAGCUCUGUGCUCCAAGGGGCCCCAGGCCAGUGGUCCUCACACCCUUCCUCCGUCAAGCUCUGCUACAGAAUGGUUCUGUCUCGUGAGGUGCCCUGCAGGCCCCCACAGCCCCAUGUGCACAACCCUCUGCCCCAGACUCAUGGCCUUGCACUCGUCCUUCCACCCUGCCUGCUCCUACCCAGCCUGCAUCUUGUCCAGCACUGAUCCUUCUGUUUCUGCUGCUCCUCAGAAGAGCUGGCUGGUCGGCUGGCUCUGUACCCUUGGUCUGCAGCUCCAGUGGCCUGAGCCUGGCAGCCUCAGAACCUUACAGAGCACCAGCCAUUGGGGGCUUGGUGCUCCCACCCAGCUGAAUCUGGUUCAGGUGUUCCUCCCUCCACCCUGGGCUUCAGGCAGAGGCUGGGGUGGGAGCAAUAAAGCACAACAAUGU
rnacentral:lncRNA from 1 species